rnacentral:rRNA from 1 species
UACAGAGGGUGCGAGCGUUAAUCGGAAUUACUGGGCGUAAAGCGCACGUAGGCGGCUUGGUAUGUCGGGGGUGAAAUCCCCGGGCUCAACCUGGGAACUGCAUCCGAAACUGCCUUGCUCGAGUAUGGGAGAGGGAAGUGGAAUUUCCGGUGUAGCGGUGAAAUGCGUAGAUAUCGGAAGGAACAUCAGUGGCGAAGGCGACUUCCUGGACCAAUACUGACGCUCAGGUGCGAAAGCGUGGGGAGCAAACAGG